GCCCCUAGGUGCCAUAGUAGCCUUAGGGCCCCACAGCCCAGAAGCUAAGCAGGGUCAGGCCUGGCAGGGCUUGGAUGGGGGACUGCCUGUAAAGGCCAGGUGCUGGAGGCU
rnacentral:rRNA from 1 species